CGGAGUGACGUCAGGAGGAGGCAGGGAGCUGCUCAGAGGAUCAGACCGUGCCCAGCUGCUGUCCAAGGAGCUGGUAUUCUCACCCGGGGAGCAGGCAUUGCCCCCCACCCCAUCACCUGGGCAGGGGCUGGCUCAUAGAUCCUGUUGGCACAGCCCCAGGAGACCCCUGAGACCUCCCAACACAGCCCCGGGAGGCACCAGCCCA